GUGCUUGCUUCAGCAGCACAUAUACUAAAAUUGGAAUAUAUGGAGAAGAUUAACAUGGCCCCUGUGCAAGGAUGGGAUGCACAUUUGUGAAGCGUUCCAGAUUUUU